rnacentral:rRNA from 1 species
GUCGACUAGCCGUUGGGACCUUUAAGGACUUAGUGGCGCAGUUAACGCGAUAAGUCGACCGCCUGGGGAGUACGGCCGCAAGGUUAAAACUCAAAUGAAUUGACGGGGGCCCGCACAAGCGGUGGAGCAUGUGGUUUAAUUCGAUGCAACGCGAAGAACCUUACCUACCCUUGACAUCCAGAGAAGUUGGCAGAGAUGCCUUCGUGCCUUCGGGAGCUCUGAGACAGGUGCUGCAUGGCUGUCGUCAGCUCGUGUUGUGAAAUGUUGGGUUAAGUCCCGUAACGAGCGCAACCCUUGUCCUUAUUUGCCAGCACGUAAUGGUGGGAACUCUAAGGAGACUGCCGGUGACAAACCGGAGGAAGGUGGGGACGACGUCAAGUCAUCAUGGCCCUUACGGGUAGGGCUACACACGUGCUACAAUGGCCGGUACAAAGGGCUGCGAGAUCGCGAGAUGGAGCGAAUCCCAGAAAGCCGGCCUCAGUUCGGAUCGGAGUCUGCAACUCGACUCCGUGAAGUCGGAAUCGCUAGUAAUCGUGAAUCAGAAUGUCACGGUGAAUACGUUCCCGGGCC